ACUUAUUUAAUAUAUUCAGUAUAUUUAACUUCCAAUUAAAAAGUCAAUUGAAUAAGUA
rnacentral:tRNA from 1 species